rnacentral:rRNA from 1 species
AUUGAACGCUGGCGGCAGGCCUAACACAUGCAAGUCGAGCGAGCGGCGGACGGGUGAGUAAUGUCUGGGAAACUGCCUGAUGGAGGGGGAUAACUACUGGAAACGGUAGUUAAUACCGCAUACCAUCAGAUGUGCCCAGGUUGGAUUAGCUAGUAGGUGGGGUAACGGCCCACCUAGGCGACGAUCCCUAGCUGGUCUGAGAGGAUCACCAGCCACACUGGAACUGAGACACGGUCCAGACUCCUACGGGAGGCAGCAGUGGGGAAUAUUGGACAAUGGGCGAAAGCCUGAUGCAGCCAUGCCGCGUGUGUGAAGAAGGCCUUCGGGUUGUAAAGCACUUUCAGCGGGGAGGCGUUACCCACAGAAGAAGCACCGGCUAACUACGUGCCAGCAGCCGCGGUAAUAC